ACGUACGCUGGCGGCACGCCUAACACAUGCAAGUCGAACGAAGUAGCAAUACUUAGUGGCAGACGGGUGAGUAACAUGUGGGUAUCUGCCCUUUGGCCUGGAAUAACACGAGGAAACUUGUGCUAAUACCGGAUAAGUCUUUACGGAGAAAGCUUUAUGCACCAUUGGAUGAGCCUGCACUUGAUUAGUUUGUUGGUGGGGUAAUGGCCUACCAAGACUGUGAUCAAUAGCUGAUUUGAGAGGAUGAUCAGCCACAUUGGGACUGAGACACGGCCCAAACUCCUACGGGAGGCAGCAGUGGGGAAUCUUGCACAAUGGAGGAAACUCUGAUGCAGCGAUGCCGCGUGAGUGAAGAAGGCCCUUGGGUUGUAAAGCUCUUUCGUCGGGGAAGAAAAUGACUGUACCCGAAUAAGAAGGUCCGGCUAACUUCGUGCCAGCAGCCGCGGUAAUACGAAGGGACCUAGCGUAGUUCGGAAUUACUGGGCUUAAAGAGUUCGUAGGUGGUUGAAAAAGUUAGUGGUGAAAUCCCAGAGCUUAACUCUGGAACUGCCAUUAAAACUUUUCAGCUAGAGUAUGAUAGAGGAAAGCAGAAUUUCUAGUGUAGAGGUGAAAUUCGUAGAUAUUAGAAAGAAUACCAAUUGCGAAGGCAGCUUUCUGGAUCAUUACUGACACUGAGGAACGAAAGCAUGGGUAGCGAAGAGGAUUAGAUACCCUCGUAGUCCAUGCCGUAAACGAUGUGUGUUAGACGUUGGAAAUUUAUUUUCAGUGUCGCAGGGAAACCGAUAAACACACCGCCUGGGGAGUACGACCGCAAGGUUAAAACUCAAAUGAAUUGACGGGGACCCGCACAAGUAGUGGAGCAUGUGGUUUAAUUCGAAGAUACGCGCAGAACCUUACCAACACUUGACAUGUUCGUCGCGACUCUAAGAGAUUAGAGUUUUCGGUUCGGCCGGACGAAACACAGGUGCUGCAUGGCUGUCGUCAGCUCGUGUCGUGAGAUGUUGGGUUAAGUCCCGCAACGAGCGCAACCCUCACUUUUAGUUGCCAUCAUUAAGUUGGGCACUCUGAAAGAACUGCCAGUGAUAAGCUGGAGGAAGGUGGGGAUGACGUCAAGUCCUCAUGGCCCUUACGUGUUGGGCUACACACGUGCUACAAUGGUAUCUACAACAGGAAGCAAGACGGCGACGUCAAGCAAAUCCCUAAAAGAUACCUCAGUUCGGAUUGCACUCUGCAACUCGAGUGCAUGAAGCUGGAAUUACUAGUAAUCGUGGAUCAGCGUGCCACGGUGAAUGCGUUCCCGGGUCUUGUACUCACCGC
rnacentral:rRNA from 1 species